CGAAGGCUCGCUCGGGGGCCAGAGGACCACAGCCAGCCCUUUCCCGCUUCUGAUGGGGCAGGGGAGAGCAGGGCUGGGAGUCAGAGCAUCCUGCCUUUAGGAUCAAGGCCCUAGCCCUCUGCUAACUGGCUCUGUGGGCUUAGGUCAGUUACUCAACCUCUCUGAGCCACAGUUUCUUCAUCUGCUAAAUGGAAAGAGGAAAAUCCUGAUGAUGCACAGGGUACCUGGAGGAUAAAGUGAGACUCUCCAGGGAGGUCCUGAGCUCAGGGCCCAGCUGAAGCUCGUGCUUCAGGCGAGCUGCCCUCUCCACGUGGCAGGUGAAAAGGAGCUGCGAGGAGCUGGACAAAAGGGAAGACCUUUAGAGGCAGACGGGAGUGGAACAUGGAAGCUAUGCCAGCAAAAAGCCAACAGUUGGUCGUGGCAAGGUCGAAUCCAGGGGCAAGGCAGACGAGUCCCCCUUUGCCAGAAGUCGACCAUCAGGGAAGUAGAAGAGAUGGGCCUGGAGCCCACAGGUCUUGGUUCUGGGAUAUUUUGGUUUCCGUUCUGGAGACCAGACUGCCAACCAAGGUGGGGAGGGGAGGGGCUCUGAGCCGAGGGGCCCAGGAGAGGGUUGGGGGCAGGCCGUGUCUAUUCCCUCCGGGGGCCCCAACCCAAAUGUACAUCCAUGAAGCCGGGCCUGGCGGUUUGAGUGAUGGGUUUAUUAAUACUGGAGGCCGCUGCCAGGCAAUGAGCCAGAUCGUGGUGACAAAGGCGGCCGCGGCGGCGCCCUGGGGGCGUCAUUAUGUAAUUGCUCCAAGGAUGAGGCAGGCUGGGGCCAGGGCAGGGGGGGCUGGGCGCCAGCCACGGGUAGAGGGAGCCCCCUCGGGAACCCUCACCGCUUCACCGCUCUGGGCUCCCACGCCCGGAGGCGGGUUAACCCCUGCCUGGCUGGGUGCAGCCCUCCGCUCCCGGCAAAGGGGCCCCCAGGGCGAGAUCCCCAGUCCCUGGGGACCCCCGGAGAAGACUGAGCCAGGGCUUUCCCUCCUCCGGGCACUGCUGCCCCCCCGCCCCAACCCGCCCUCGCUGAGAGUUGGGGGAGAGAGAGAAAAGACCAACGCAUUGGGCAACUUCUGGGUGUCAGUCGUGUGGCUUGCAUAUCAAACGGAUGGCAACCUCUGUGUGGUGGCCCAUGUUACAGACUGGGACCCAGCCCCAGAAGGCCUGGCUUCAUGCCCCGAGGAUUCCAGUCCUUGAGUUGGUCAGCUCUAAAGCUCGUGCUUUUUCCUUUGUACCCCACAAGGGGUCUUUAUAACCAUGGUGGAUCAGUUGUUGCCUCAGUUUCCCCAGCCAGGAUGCUGUUGAUGGGGUGGAAAGGACCGUGUACGUCUCCGCAUUAGGGGCCUGGGGAAGGGGUUUGGGACGCUGGUGUCCACCGAGCAGAUGGUGCAAGGACAGGCCUGGCUGUUUGGGUCAGUGGGGGCCAGCACACCAGGCCCUGCCCCUAUCCUGCCAGCCAGGGCCAGACCCCAAGAACACCCCCCGCCCGCCCCCAAAUCCUGGUGCUGCAGCCCUCUGCGGGGAAUGCCCUC
ensembl:lncRNA